rnacentral:rRNA from 1 species
GAUGAACGCUGGCGGCGUGCCUAAUACAUGCAAGUCGAGCGAACAGAUGAGAAGCUUGCUUCUCUGAUGUUAGCGGCGGACGGGUGAGUAACACGUGGGUAACCUACCUAUAAGACUGGGAUAACUCCGGGAAACCGGGGCUAAUACCGGAUAAUAUUUUGAACCGCAUGGUUCAAUAGUGAACGAAGGGUUAGGCUGUCAAUUAUAGAUGGACCCGUGCCGUAUUAUGCAGUUGGUAAGGUAACGGCUUACCAAGGCGACGAUACGUAGCCGACCUGAGAGGGUGAUCGGCCACACUGGAACUGAGACACGGUCCAGACUCCUACGGGAGGCAGCAGUAGGGAAUCUUCCGCAAUGGGCGAAAGCCUGACGGAGCAACGCCGCGUGAGUGAUGAAGGUCUUCGGAUCGCAAAACUCUGUUGUUAGGGAAGAACAAAUUUGUUAGUAACUGAACAAGUCUUGACGGUACCUAACCAGAAAGCCACGGCUAACUACGUGCCAGCAGCCGCCGUAA